UCAGAGCUCCAUUGCCAUGGCAGAUAAAGAUCCAGAGAGGAAACAUCGGGGCUGUACCCGUGGACUCAAGGACUCAGCUCUGCCCUGCGGUGGGCACGCAGAUGGACAUAGCCUCGACGGGUGGACGUGGUUGUGGGCGCGUGACAUGCUGGAUCAUGACACGCCAACGUGGAAGUCCUUGACGGUGAGAACCUGGAGCCAUCGUCGCCGGGUGAGACGGAAGGGACACCGCCAUGCUUUGCGCGCAGCAGUUUCAAGGCGCAGAAGGCAAACGGGAUGCCCACGUGAAACUAUGCUGCAGCAGUGCCCGCAAAUGUGCCCGGGCUCGCACAGGAUUCCGACGUGGCAAGUCCCAGAGGAGCCAGAGACACGCAGAAUGAGGUUUCUCCUGAGCAGGAAGCGUGCCCGUGAGCAACCAGCUGAGAAGUCGACCCAUCACAUGUGAAAAUGAGAAAGUCCCGUCGAGGCCAGACCCCGCUGUCCUUGGAAAGGUGCGCAAUUGAUCCAGUUCAGACGUCGGGGGCUGUCUUGGUGUUGAGUUGAUUUCUUCCAAGGGGUGAGGGAGCAAUUCAGGUUCCCUGCCCAGCGGGUGCUCUGCCUCCCUAGUUCCGGAGGCUGGACUUUCAAGACCUGCUGAGAGCCAUCUUCCUGGUUCAUCAAUGGACGUUCUCUCCAUCAGGACAGAGACAAGACAGUUCCUUCUUACCCGUGAGAGAUACAUGUAUUGUCCAUGACUCCGCAGGAAAUUGAUUUCCCCAACCCGAUGCAGAGAUGGGGAAGGGGGGAGCCAAAAGAAGGGUUUGCUGUCCAUCUUUGGCGCCAGAGGAGAAGUCAGCCCCCAGAAGCUAAGCACUGAGAAGUCCAGUCUUCCACAUCCAGGGGUUUCCAGAUUCCCACUCGUGUAAGAAAUGCAGCGUGAUGUCCCAGUUUUCGUGCUUUUCUUGAGAUGUGGUCCCCUUGGAGGAGCUUCCCCCGCCAGGAUGGAAUUUCAGAGCUUUCGGCUCGAGAAGAAGGGAAAUGCCCCGAACAGCCACCCCCCAGGCCCCUUGUGGCCGCUGAGAAGUUGGGGAGGAUGCAGCCAUAAAGGAGGAUGUGAAAAGUAGGCGCGAUCGCAAGGCACGAAUCUCGGAAUCUUCGUGUUUCAUCGGGAAGGCAGAGGAGGAAGGAAUCUGCGAGGUGCAGCCGCCUCUUCUGACCUCAGGAUGGACGGAGAGGGCGUGAAGGACCCGUCAGUGACCAGCUGUUGCACAGAGAGCCCAGGGGAAGGGGGUGCCCUGGCGGGCACAUGGGAACCGAUGCUGCGGCUCACGAGAAGUUGGAGGAACAAACUGCUUUGUCCCAGGAGAAGAGGAGCAGGAUGGAACAGAUGCCCGCUGUAAUCGUGGGCGGAACCGGAGGGACGGACGCAACGCUUGGCGCUUCCGAUUCUGACAGUGGCUGACCUCGCGGGAGAUGGAUGCAGGAGGGUCCAGAUGUUCCGAUGAGGAAACGGAGGCCACUAAGUGUUGUGUAACGUCCCAAGGGGACCCAGCUCUGAAGCGGUGGAGUCAGAAUGGGUUGCUUAACAGCCACCCCCACCCUCGGCUCGGAAGACGUCCACACCCAGGUAUGAAAAUGCCCUGUGGGAGUGUCUGUUGCUGCUCAGUGGGUUAAGAACCCAACAUAGCGUCCGUCCAAGGGAUGCGGGUUUGAUCCCUGGCCUCGCUCGGCGAGUUAAGGAUCUGGUGUUGCCACAGGCUGUGGUGUAGGUCACAGGUGCGGCUCGGAGCCUAUGUUUCGGUGGCUGUGGUGUAGACUGGCAGCUGCAGCACUGAUUCGACCCCUAGCUCGGGAACUUCCAUGUGCUGCGGGGGUGGCCCUGAAAAGAAAAUAAAAAAGAAAGAAAGCAAAUGCCCUGUGGAAUGACCACAUGAUAGUGACACAGUCUCGUGGCCUUUCUCUUGGGAACAGGCACACCUCCUUCCGAGCCACCUAAGUUCCUGCCUCUUGACUUUCUAGACACCCUUCACUGUUUAAAGGGGGGAGAACAAUAAGAAGACAAAGCAAAUGCUCCUUUUUUGGGUCCUUUUUAAAACAUUUAUUGACAUAGAGCUGAUAUAUCAGCUUGUGAUCAUCUCUGCGAUACAACAAACUCACGAGCUCCUGUUAUUUGUAGACUUUUUGAUGAUGGCCAUUCUGACUGGUGCAAGGUGGUCCCUCAGUGUAACUUUGAUUCGCAUUUCUCUAAUAAUAAGCGAUGGGGAGCAUCCUUUCAUAUGCUUGUUCUUUGGAGAAACGUCUGUUCAGGUCUUCUGCCCAUCUUUUGAUUGGGUUGUUUGGCUUUUUUGAUAUCAAGCUUCACGGGUUGUUUGUGCCUUUUGGAGAUUAGUCCCUUGUGUGUCACUUCAUUUGCAAAUGUUUUCAGCCAUUUCGUGAGUGGCCUUUUUGUUUCGUUUGAUUUCCUUGGCUGUGCAAAUGUGUUUAAGUUUAUGUAGGUCCCAUGUGUUUCUGUUUUUAUUUUCAUUACUCUAAGCAGUGGAUCCAAAAAGAAAUUGCUGCAGAUUAUGUCAAAGAAUGUUCUGCCUCUGUUCUCCUCCAGGAGUUUAAUCAUAUCUGGUCUUACAUUUAGGUCUUUAAUCCAUUUUGAGUUUAUUUUCCUGUAUGAUAUUAGAGAAAGCUGGGAGUUCCUGUCGGGGUUCAGUGGAACUGAAUCCAACUAGGAACCGUGAGGUUGCAGAUUCAAUCCCUGGCCUCGCUCAGUGGGUUAAGGAUCUGGUGUGGCCGUGAGCUGUGGUGUAGGUCGCAGACAUGGCUUGGAUCUGGCAUUGCUGUGACUCUGGCAUAGGAGGGCAGCUAUACCUCCAAUUAGACCCAUAGCCUGGGAACCUCCAUGUGCUGCGGUGCGGUCCUAAAAAGACGGAAAGACAGAGAAUGCUAUCAUUUCAUUCUUUUGCAUGGAGCUGUCCAGUUUUCCCAGCACCACUUAUUGAAGAGCCUGUCUUUUCUCCAUUGUAUAUUCUUGCCUCCUUUGUCAUAAAUUAAUUGUCCGUAGGUGUGCGGGUUUAUCCUGUUCCAUUAAUCCACAUUUCUGAUUUGCGUCAGUGCCAUACUGUUUUGAUGACUCUAGUUCUGUGAUAUAAUCUGAUGUCAGGGAGCCUGAUUCCCCCGGUUCUGUUUCUUUUUCAGGAUGGCUUUGGCUGUUUGGGCUCUUAUGUGUUUCCAUAUAAAUUUAAAAAUAUUUUGUUCUAGUUCUGUUAAAAAAUGUCAAGGCAAUCUACAGUCUCAAUUCAUUAGUUUCUUAGAUCCGAGGCACAGGUCCAUAAAUGCCUAACAACAGAGACAGACCAGCAAAAUGUUCAUGCAGUUUAGAUUCUGAGAACUUGACUUGUGUUUUUAUUCUAGGUUUUGAUUCAUAUUUUUUCAAAAAAUCAGAGUUUAGAAUUUGUGACAAAUUGGCAGUGUUGUGUUGUGACUCAGUGGGUUACGAAUCUGAUUAGUAUCCAUGAGGGAUGCAGGUUCAAUCCCUGUCCUUGCUCAGUGGGUCAAGGAUCCUGCAUUGCCAUGAUCUGUGGUGUAGGUCACAGAUGCUGUCUGGAUCUGGCAUUGCUGUGGUUAGUAUAGGCUGGCAGCUGCAGUUCUGAUUCAGCCUAGGAACGUCCAUGUGCUGAGGGUGCAGCCCUAGGGGGAAAAAAAAAAAGAAUUUGGGACAGGUUGGGAUGGGUCAUGAAGGAAAAGACCCCACAAUCUAUAUCCAGCACACAGCAGGGUUUCCAUGCAGAAGACAGUGUUGUCAGCACAGAGAUUCAGUUAAAAAAUGGAGGUUUUGAGAAACUCUCUCUCUGCUCACUCAGGAGUGUUAUCCUGAGACAGAUCCCAAAG
rnacentral:lncRNA from 1 species